UGGGGAAUAUUGCGCAAUGGGGGGAACCCUGACGCAGCCAUGCCGCGUGAAUGAAGAAGGCCUUAGGGUUGUAAAGUUCUUUCGGUAUUGAGGAAGGUUGAUGUGUUAAUAGCACAUCAAAUUGACGUUAAAUACAGAAGAAGCACCGGCUAACUCCGUGCCAGCAGCCGCGGUAAUACGGAGGGUGCGAGCGUUAAUCGGAAUAACUGGGCGUAAAGGGCACGCAGGCGGUUAUUUAAGUGAGGUGUGAAAGCCCCGGGCUUAACCUGGGAAUUGCAUUUCAGACUGGGUAACUAGAGUACUUUAGGGAGGGGUAGAAUUCCACGUGUAGCGGUGAAAUGCGUAGAGAUGUGGAGGAAUACCGAAGGCGAAGGCAGCCCCUUGGGAAUGUACUGACGCUCAUGUGCGAAAGCAUGGGGAGCAAACAGGAUUAGAUACCCUGGUAGUCCACGCUGUAAACGCUGUCGAUUUGGGGGUUGGGGUUUAACUCUGGCGCCCGUAGCUAACGUGAUAAAUCGACCGCCUGGGGAGUACGGCCGCAAGGUUA
rnacentral:rRNA from 1 species